rnacentral:rRNA from 1 species
CACCCUAAAACUAGCCUCGAACCUAAAUACAACUUUUAACUUUAUAUAACCCCUUAUAUAAAACACAUGUUUAAACAAACCAUUUUUCCACCCAAGUAAGGGAGACUGAAAAG